rnacentral:tRNA from 1 species
GUUGCCUUAGUGUAAUGGAUAUCACGCAAGAUUCCGGUUCUUGAAAUAGGGGUUCAAUUCCCCUAGGCGACG